UGCGCCUCCUUUUCCAUGCGGCUUCCGAAGAGGACAAGAAUGCACAAUAUCCUCAUCUAUCAGAAAAUUAUCCAGACAGGCAUGGGAGUCACCUGAAAUGCAAAGGCGUCACCAGAGUUUGAAAGAAUAACAAGAUGAAAAUAAAGCACUGGAGAAGAUUGAGACAGAAAUGAUUGGCUGAAAAAGUAGACAUGGCUGGAUUGGGAUGAAACAGAUGGUGGAGCACUUCUUUUGAACUGACCAGAGAAAUGUUUUGAUUGGAUUAGGCUUCUGGAUGAGGAAGAGGCACCUGGUCUUUCCACCCCACUCUAUGGAGGAUUGGAAGCUCUACGGUUCAAAGAUUCUAGGUCAUCUGCUCCAAAGCUGAAGGUAUCAAUAGAUUCAGCUGCAAUGUUGAAUAUUCUAGAGAAGAACUGAUUUGGAAUUAAGUGCUGAUGAUACCCAAUAAAUGCACUAGUUUUACACUAGCAAA